rnacentral:rRNA from 1 species
UGAACGCUGGCGGCGUGCUUAACACAUGCAAGUCGUACGAGAACGUCUUAGCUUGCUAAGACUAGUAAAGUGGCGCACGGGUGAGUAACGCGUGGGUAAUCUACCUUCGAAUUGGGGAUAACGUUGCGAAAGCGACGCUAAUACCGAAUAACAUCCAUUUUUCUUCGGAAUUGUGGAUCAAAGAUGGCCUCUACAUGUAAGCUAUUGUUUGGAGAUGAGCCCGCGUACCAUUAGCUUGUUGGUGGGGUAACGGCCUACCAAGGCAACGAUGGUUAGCUGGUCUGAGAGGAUGAUCAGCCACACUGGAACUGACACACGGUCCAGACUCCUACGGGAGGCAGCAGUGAGGAAUUUUGCGCAAUGGGGGAAACCCUGACGCAGCAACGCCGCGUGAGUGAUGAAGGCUUUCGGGUCGUAAAGCUCUGUCAAGUGGGAAGAACCUACAUAAUGUUAAUACCAUUUUGUACUGACGGUACCACUGAAGGAAGCACCGGCUAACUCC